AGUGAAAUAAACCAGAGGUUUGAAUCAUGGCUUGAUACGAAAUUAUUGGAAAGAAUAUGGCGAUGACAUCCACAAUGCCGGUAAGAAGACGAAAUUACAAGCAGGAUGAAAAAUUUGUUCAAUGAAACACAGCUAUUAAGUGGCUGACCUAAUAAGUGUUAUGUAUAAGUGACUCAUCCAUUGUAGCUUCUGGGACUCAACUUUAGGAUCAUCGUCAUAUGCAGCCUGGAGCUAGCCAUAUUUGAAGAGCUAGGAAGGAGGCACAGUGAUUGACAAUCUCCUUUCUCCUCAACUAGAAUGUCAUUUCCUUUUUUAAAACUAAUUUAAAUCCCAUCUACAUUCAAUUGCUUGUCUAAAAUAAAACCCAACUCCUCUCUUAAAGACUUUAAAAAUAUUAUAUAGCAGAGUUCAUCCUUUCUUUCUUCAGAGAAAGCAUCAUGAAAACAUGUUUUCAGGACAUUAAUAACUUGAUAUUCACAACCAACCUUUAAAUUUGGAAACAAGGAAUUCAUAACUACGUUGUAUAUAUAUGAAGAAAGUAAGCCUCAGAGAAUUUCAAGAGCCCGUCCAGGAUAGUCUGCUUCAGAGCCAUGGUUCUCAAAGUAUAUCAGAUCUCCAGAGUAGGUCUGCAGUGGGAGCCAAAAUUUUGCAUUUCUAACUUGGUCCCAGGUGAUACUUGUGCUGGCGCUGCUAGUCUACACUUAACUCUAUUCACUUUUUUUGUGUUUUCUUAGGAUAAAGAAAAUAUUUAGAAGAUGAGAUUCCUGUGUUUCUGGCUUUCAUAACUUUUUAGAUUUCCUUUCUACUGGAAAACUUUUAACUUUGAAAACCGCAAGUAAUAUUUUUCUUCCUGAAACCUCUGCAGUGGUAGCAAUGCACUGAAGUUUGAUUAAAAGUUUACUGGUCAUUCCUGCCAUGAGAAGAUGAUAGAGAAUAUCACCACAGUGUGACUUGCUUCCAAGGCAGCAUGGUUUCAUGCAGAGGAUCUAAACUGGGGACCAUGUGCUGGGCUGCAAAAGGGCUGUGCAGUGCCUAAAAUGUUAUGCAAAAUUUUAUAAAGAGUGCACACCUUCUACUUAUUAAAAAAAAAAACAAACUGUAAAACAGCAUCAUGCAGGUUCUUCAGGAGAGAUUCCAGAGGAAGGCAUUGUUGUGGUAGAAGAUGACAGUUCCACAGGUGUUACUAGCCAUGAAGAUCUUCCAGUGAGACAAGAUGUGGAGGUGGAAGACAGUGAUAUUGAUGAUUCUGAUCCUGUUGUUAUAAAUAAAGUUUCGGUUCCACAAAAGAAA
ensembl:lncRNA LINC01919 long intergenic non-protein coding RNA 1919